rnacentral:lncRNA from 1 species
CUCCAAGCUGGCGCAGUCGCCCAGCUGCUGGAAGACCUUGGCCGCCGCGUCGUCAUCGGUGCCCAGGAGGUUGUCGACGACGCCGCGCUUCUGGAGGUGCUCCACGUCCUCGCCCGUCCUCACCCGGGAACCCACCAGCGCCGCGUAGCGCGACACCGGUGGACGUGGCUCUUGGCAGGCGAACUCAUCCUUUUGGUGGUGCCACGCAUCCUGCACUUUGUCCUUCACCUUGGAAAUGCCAGGGAUGUGAGUUACUCGUCUUGGCUCCUUUUUGUUUCGAGCCGGAGCCGGCAGCGCCUUCGAGCUAGUUCCACCACUCCCAGGCUGCGGCACCGGUAGAUCGGCGAACAUGGCGGCGAAGCUAUGGUCCUCGUACUCCAAGCUGGCGCAGUCGCCCAGCUGCUGGAAGAACUUGGCCGCCGCGUCGUCGUCGGUGCCCAGGAGGUUGUCGACGAUGCCGCGCUUCUGAAGGUGCUCCACGUCCUCGCCCGUCCUCACCCGGGAACCCACCAGCGCCGCAUAGCGCGACACCGGUGGACGUGGAUCUUGGCAGGCGAACUCAUCCUUUUGGUGGUGCCACGCAUCCUGCACUUUGCCCUUCACCUUGGAAAUGCCAGGGAUGUGAGUUACUCGUCUUGGCUCCUUUUUGUUUCGAGCCGGUGCCGGCAGCGCCCUCGAGCUAGUUCCACCACUCCCAGGCUGCGGCACCGGUGGACGUGGAUCUUGGUAGGCGAAGUCGCUCCUGCUUUGGGCUUCCCAUCCCGGACUGGGACUGGCUCCUCCUCCUCCUACCAUGGUCAGGCGGCCAAAGGCUGAUGAGAGUACGGAAUCCGUAUAGAAAUGGCAGGCAACUUUAAACCUCAAACAUAUUACAAAUUAAACUCUUCCAUCGAUAUAGCAGCGCUGCUAGCCUAAUUAGAAGUAUAAAAUCACUGCUACUACUGAAAAAUGGAACCGAAAUCGUAGCUAAAUCGAAGAUCUUGUGCAGCUAGCUAUAGUUGUUACCUUCUUCAGCAGAGGAGGACGCUUGCCUGUUUUUUGCGUAAAAGGAAAAUGCCAUCAGUUGAUUGUAAUGCUCUCCAGCUUAGACCCGGAUCAAUUGUAGCAGGAGAGUAGUAGUGCUC